rnacentral:rRNA from 1 species
CAGUAGCCGCGGGAAUACGUAGGGUGCAAGCGUUAAUCGGAAUUACUGGGCGUAAAGCGUGCGCAGGCGGUUAUAUAAGACAGAUGUGAAAUCCCCGGGCUCAACCUGGGAACUGCAUUUGUGACUGUAUAGCUAGAGUACGGCAGAGGGGGAUGGAAUUCCGCGUGUAGCAGUGAAAUGCGUAGAUAUGCGGAGGAACACCGAUGGCGAAGGCAAUCCCCUGGGCCUGUACUGACGCUCAUGCACGAAAGCGUGGGGAGCAAACAGGAUUAGAUACCCCGGUAGUCCCUGUCUCUUAUAC